UUAGGUUAAGCGAAGAAGAGCGUAUGGUGGAUGCCUGGACACCAGGAGGCGAAGAAGGACGCAGCAAACGGCGAAACGCGACGGCGAGCAGUAAGCAGGCAACGACCCGUCGAUAUCCGAAUGGGGGAACCCGCCAUCCACGAGGGUGGCAUCGCUAAGGCGAGGCAAUACGCAGGGAACUGAAACAUCUCAGUACCUGCAGGAGAAGAAAGUAAAAACGAUUCCGUAAGUAGUGGCGAGCGAAAGCGGAGGAGCCCAAACCAUCAGAUGAUGGGGUUAUAGGGCUGCCGAGAAAGUCGAUGCGACAUGACAGGAGAAGCGCAGGGGAAGGCGCAGCGAAGAGGGUGAAACUCCCGUAUCCGAAGUCGUGAAGCAGGACGAGGCAGACCCUGAGUACGUCGGGGCACGAGGAAUCCUGACGGAAGGAUCGAGGACCAUCUCGAAAGGCUAAAUACUCCCUGGUGAGCGAUAGUGAACCAGUACCGUGAGGGAAAGGU
rnacentral:rRNA from 1 species